rnacentral:tRNA from 2 species
GCGGGGGUGGCCGAGUCUGGUCAAAGGCGCAAGAUUCAGGGUCUUGUCUCCUAGCGAGUACGCAGGUUCAAAUCCUGUCCCCCGCA